GGCCGAAUGGUUGAGGAAAAGGGAGAACGCCGACAGUUAUUGUUGAGGGAAGUUGGUGAGUCCUUGUGAAGAAGAAGACAUGGGGUGCUGAGAGGAAAGAAAGAUCAAGAAGAAGGUGGGAAGAAGAGGCCGAAAACUGAGGGG